rnacentral:rRNA from 1 species
CUACGUGCCAGCAGCCGCGGUAAUACGGAAGGUCCGGGCGUUAUCCGGAUUUAUUGGGUUUAAAGGGAGCGUAGGCCGGAGAUUAAGUGUGUUGUGAAAUGUAGACGCUCAACGUCUGACUUGCAGCGCAUACUGGUUUCCUUGAGUACGCACAACGUUGGCGGAAUUCGUCGUGUAGCGGUGAAAUGCUUAGAUAUGACGAAGAACUCCGAUUGCGAAGGCAGCUGACGGGAGCGCAACUGACGCUUAAGCUCGAAGGUGCGGGUAUCGAACAGGAUUAGAUACCCUGGUAGUCCGCACAGUAAACGAUGGAUGCCCGCUGUUGGUACCUGGUAUCAGCGGCUAAGCGAAAGCAUUAAGCAUCCCACCUGGGGAGUACGCCGGCAACGGUGAAACUCAAAGGAAUUGACGGGGGCCCGCACAAGCGGAGGAACAUGUGGUUUAAUUCGAUGAUACGCGAGGAACCUUACCUGGGCUUGAA